GACGAACGCUGGCGGCGUGCUUAACACAUGCAAGUCGAACGGAAACGUCCUGCCUUUUUGGGGUGCUCGAGUUGCGAACUGGUGACUAACCCGUGAGUACCCUGCCCCUGACUUUGGGAUAACCUCAUGAAACUGGGGCUAAUACCGGAUAGGAGCUCCCGCUGCAUGGUGGGGGUGGGAUAGUUUCGGCGGUUGGGGAUGGACUCGCGGCUCAUCAGCUUGUUGGGGGGGUAGUGGCUUACCAAGGCUUGGACGGGUAGCCGGCCUGGGAGGGUGACCGGCCACAUUGGGACGGAGAUGCGGCACAGACUCCAACGGGAGGGAGCGGUGGGGUAUAUUGCACAAUGGGAGGAAGGCUGAUGCAGCAACGCCGCGUGGGGGAUGAGGGCAAGCGGGUUGUAAUCCGCUUUCGCCUGUGACGAAGCGUGAGUGACGGUAAUGGGUGAAGAAGCACCGGCUAACUACGUG
rnacentral:rRNA from 1 species